rnacentral:rRNA from 1 species
GAUGAACGCUGGCGGCGUGCCUAAUACAUGCAAGUCGAGCGAACAGACGAGGAGCUGGCUCCGCUGACGUUAGCGGCGGACGGGUGAGUAACACGUGGAUAACCUACCUAUAAGACUGGUAUAACUUCGGGAAACCGGAGCUAAUACCGGAGAAUAUAUUGAACCGCAUGGUUCAAUAGUGAAAGACGGUAUUUCUGUCACUUAUAGCUGGAUCCGCGCCGCAUUAGCUAGUUGGUAAGGCAACGGCUUACCAAGGCAACGAUGCGUAGCCGACCUGAGAGCGUCUACGGCCACCCUGGAAGUGAGACACAGUACAGACUCCUGGAGGAGGCAGCAGUCGUGAAUCUUCCGCAAUGGGCGAAAGCCUAACGGGGCAACAUCGCGUGAAUGAUGAAGGUCUCAGGCUCGUAAAACUCUGUUAUUAGGGAAGAACAAAUGUGCUAGUAACUAUGAACGUCUUGACGGUACCUAAUCAGAAAGCCCCGGCUAACUACGUG